GUAGUACUCCCUUCGUCCGAAAAUACUUGUCACCAAAAUGAAUAAAAGGAGAUGUAUCUAGAUCUAUUUUAGUUCUACAUAUAUUUUUUUUCGUUUAUUUUGAUGACAAGUAUUUUCGGACGGAUGGAGUAGCUA
rfam:Triticum aestivum genome assembly, contig: Triticum_aestivum_CS42_TGACv1_scaffold_605035_7DL